UGAGUAACCUGCCCUUAACUCUGGGAUAAGCCUGGGAAACUGGGUCUAAUACCGGAUAUGACUCCUCAUCGCAUGGUGGGGGGUGGAAAGCUUUAUUGUGGUUUUGGAUGGACUCGCGCCCUAUCAGCUUGUUGGUGAGGUAAUGGCUUACCAAGGCGACGACGGGUAGCCGGCCUGAGAGGGUGACCGGCCACACUGGGACUGAGACACGGCCCAGACUCCUACGGGAGGCAG
rnacentral:rRNA from 1 species